CAUCAUUUAGUUGGGCACUCUAAGGUGACUGCCGGUGACAAACCGGAGGAAGGUGGGGAUGACGUCAAAUCAUCAUGCCCCUUAUGACCUGGGCUACACACGUGCUACAAUGGACGAUACAAACGGUUGCCAACUCGCGAGAGGGAGCUAAUCCGAUAAAGUCGUUCUCAGUUCGGAUUGUAGGCUGCAACUCGCCUACAUGAAGCCGGAAUCGCUAGUAAUCGCGGAUCAGCAUGCCGCGGUGAAUACGUUCCCGGGCCUUGUACACACCGCCCGUCACACCACGAGAGUUUGUAACACCCGAAGUCGGUGAGGUAACCUUUUGGAGCCAGCCGCCGAAGGUGGGAUAGAUGAUUGGGGUGAAGUCGUAACAAGGUAGCCGUAUCGGAAGGUGCGGCUGGAUCACCUCCUUUCUAAG
rnacentral:rRNA from 1 species